CCUACGGGAGGCUGCAGUGAGGAAUAUUGGUCAAUGGGCUUACGCCUGAACCAGCCAAGUCGCGUGAGGGAAGACUGCCCUAUGGGUUGUAAACCUCUUUUGUCAGGGAGCAACGCCGGCCACGUGAAGCCGGACUGAGCGUACCUGAAGAAAAAGCAUCGGCUAACUCCGUGCCAGCAGCCGCGGUAAUACGGAAGGUCCGGGCGUUAUCCGGAUUUAUUGGGGUUAAAGGGUGCGUCGGCCGGCUUUUAAGUCAGCUGUGAACGUCCGCGGCUCAACCGUGGAAUUGCAGUUGAAACUGGAGGCCUUGAGUGCACACAGGGAUGCCGGAAUGCAUGGUGUAGCGGUGAAAUGCUUAGAUAUCAUGAAGAACUCCGAUCGCGAAGGCGAGUGUCCGGGGGGCAACUGACGCUGAGGCUCGAAAGUGCGGGUAUCGAACAGGAUUAGAUACCCGAGUAGUC
rnacentral:rRNA from 1 species